UACGUAGGGCGCGAGCGUUGUCCGGAAUUAUUGGGCGUAAAGAGCUCGUAGGCGGCCUGUUGCGUCUGCUGUGAAAUCCCGGGGCUUAACCCCGGGCGUGCAGUGGAUACGGGCAGGCUGGAGGCAGGCAGGGGAGAAUGGAAUUCCCGGUGUAGCAGUGAAAUGCGUAGAUAUCAGGAGGAAUACCGAUGGCGAAGGCAGGUCUCUGGGCUGACACUGACGCUCAUGCACGAAAGCGUGGGGAGCAAACAGG
rnacentral:rRNA from 1 species